rnacentral:rRNA from 1 species
AUUGAACGCUUUCUUCCUUCCUUACACAUGCAAGUCGAACGGCAGCACGGGUGCUUGCACCUGGUGGCGAGUGGCGAACGGGUGAGUAAUACAUCGGAACAUGUCCUGUAGUGGGGGAUAGCCCGGCGAAAGCCGGAUUAAUACCGCAUACGAUCUACGGAUGAAAGCGGGGGACCUUCGGGCCUCGCGCUAUAGGGUUGGCCGAUGGCUGAUUAGCUAGUUGGUGGGGUAAAGGCCUACCAAGGCGACGAUCAGUAGCUGGUCUGAGAGGACGACCAGCCACACUGGGACUGAGACACGGCCCAGACUCCUACGGGAGGCAGCAGUGGGGAAUUUUGGACAAUGGGCGAAAGCCUGAUCCAGCAAUGCCGCGUGUGUGAAGAAGGCCUUCGGGUUGUAAAGCACUUUUGUCCGGAAAGAAAUCCUUGGCCCUAAUACGGUCGGGGGAUGACGGUACCGGAAGAAUAAGCACAGGCUAACUACGGG